GACGAACGCUGGCGGCGUGCCUAAUACAUGCAAGUAGGACGCAGUUGCGAACGGGUGAGUAACGCGUAGGUAACUACCUAUUAGAGGGGGAUAACUAGUGGAAACGAUCGCUAAUACCGCAUACUAGUAGAUGGACCUGCGUUGUAUUAGCUAGUAGGUAUGGUAAGUGCCUACCUAGGCAACGACACAUAGCCGGCUUGAGAGGGUUAACGGCCACACUGGGACUGAGACAAGGGCCAGACUCCUACGGGAGGCAGCAGUAGGGGAUCUUCGGCAAUGGGGGGAACCCUGACCAAGCAACGGCGGGUGAGUGAAGAAGGUUUUCGGAUCGUAAAGCUCUGUUGUUAAGGAAGCGGUACUUAACCAGAAAGGGACGGCUAACUACGUGCCAGCAGCCGCGGUAAUAC
rnacentral:rRNA from 1 species